AACGAACGCUGGCGGCAGGCCUAACACAUGCAAGUCGAGCGCCCUUUCGGGGGAGCGGCGGACGGGUGAGUAACGCGUGGGAAUAUGCCCUUCUCUACGGAAUAGCCUCGGGAAACUGAGAGUAAUACCGUAUACGCCCUGUGGGGGAAAGAUUUAUCGGGGAAGGAUUAGCCCGCGUUGGAUUAGGUGGUUGGUGGGGUAAUGGCCUACCAAGCCGACGAUCCAUAGCUGGUUUGAGAGGAUGAUCAGCCACACUGGGACUGAGACACGGCCCAGACUCCUACGGGAGGCAGCAGUGGGGAAUCUUAGACAAUGGGGGCAACCCUGAUCUAGCCAUGCCGCGUGAGUGAUGAAGGCCUUAGGGUUGUAAAGCUCUUUCAGCUGGGAAGAUAAUGACGGUACCAGCAGAAGAAGCCCCGGCUAACUCCGUG
rnacentral:rRNA from 1 species